rnacentral:rRNA from 1 species
CGGUAAUACGUAGGAGGCGAGCGUUAUCCGGAUUUACUGGGUGUAAAGCGCGUGCAAACGGUUGGAUAAAUUGGGUGUGAAGGCUCCUGGCUCAACUGGGAGAGGUUGCUCAAGACCGUUCGACUAGAGCGUGGUAGGGGAAGGCGGAAUUCCGGGUGUAGUGGUGAAAUGCGUAGAUAUCCGGAGGAACACCAGUGGCGAAAGCGGCCUUCUAGACCAUGACUGACGCUCAGACGCGAAAGCUAGGGGAGCAAACGGGAUUAGAGACCCCGGUAGUCCUAGCCGUAAACGAUGUGAACUUGGCGGCGGGUGGAUAAAACUACUCGGUGCCGAAGCAAACGCGAUAAGUUCACCACCUGGGGACUACGGCCGCAAGGUUAAA